GUGCCUUAAACUAAUGAGUAAGGAAAAUAAACGAGCCUUGGUGACGCUUGGCUUACAUACUAGAACAAACUAGUCGAUAUAUUUUUGUAGGGGUAAAGGUCGUCCCGUGGAGAACUGCAUACUUUCGCAGCUUUCCUGGUGAUUAGCGAUCUGCCUC